GGAAUUUGCUUCCAUUUGCUUGCUUGCCUUUUUGGCAAUGCGAGGGGUGGAUUGUCUUGUAGUGUUGGGCCUUGCUAUCGUGGGGGCGUGUGAGUGGUGAUCGGGAUGUUUGUGCUGGCUGGCUCCAUGCUCGUAGUCAUCGAACAGUCAGCACGCGUUUCGCCUCAGGUUUGCCCUCGGGUUUGUUGCCCUGCGGGUUGGUUGUGGUUUCUGUGUUGCCUACCCGUUAAGUGGUAUUCAUUUGCCUCUUAGGACCCGUUCCCUCCAGAGCCUCGUCCGGGGUUGUUGGGGGAUCCGAAUGCGAUGCGUGGUUUUCGUUAGCCGUGUGUUGUGACGGCGAGCGUGCCCACACGUGUCUCUUGUUCUCCGGGAUGCGGUGCAUGUGGUGAACGUGGGCUGCCGAUGGUGCCCCGUUGAGUCCCUUGGUUUAUUGGUUCCCUUGAAUGCCACUCUGCUGUUGUGCUGGUCACUUGCUUCCCCAUUCAUGGGGGCAACACUAGUACGUCUAGCAGAGAGUCGUGACG
rnacentral:misc_RNA from 1 species